UCUCCGUUGGUGAACCAGCGGAGGGAGCAUUACCGAGUUGUCAACUCCCAAACCCCUGUGAACAUACCCAACGUUGCUUCGGCGGGACCGCCCCGGCGCCCUCGGCGUCCCGGAACCAGGCGCCCGCCGGAGGACCCAAACUCUUGUUUAAACCAUAGUGGCAUAUUCUGAGUCUCACAAGAAAAAUGAAUCAAAACUUUCAGCAACGGAUCUCUUGGCUCUG
rnacentral:misc_RNA from 1 species